rnacentral:tRNA from 1 species
GCCUGGUUGGCUCAGUCGGUUAAGUGUCUGACUCUUGAUUUCGGCUCAGGUCAUGAUCUCACGGUUUGUGGGUUCGAGCCCCAAAUCAGGCU